GUGCUCACUUCAGCAGCACAUAUACUAAACUUGGAAUGAUACAGAGAAGAUUAGCAUGUCCCCCGCACAAGGAUGACACGUAAAUUUGGGAAGUGUUCCAUAUUUCA
rnacentral:snRNA from 1 species